CUACGGGUGGCUGCAGUGGGGAAUAUUGCACAAUGGAGGAAACUCUGAUGCAGCAACGCCGCGUGGAGGAUGACACUUUUCGGAGCGUAAACUCCUUUUAUAUAGGAAGAAGAUGACGGUACUAUAUGAAUAAGCGCCGGCUAACUCCGUGCCAGCAGCCGCGAUAAUACGGAGGGCGCAAGCGUUACUCGGAAUCACUGGGCGUAAAGAGCGUGUAGGCGGAUUAAAAAGUCAGAAGUGAAAUCCUAUAGCUUAACUAUAGAACUGCUUCUGAAACUCUGAAUCUAGAAUAUGGGAGAGGUAGAUGGAAUUUCUGGUGUAGGGGUAAAAUCCGUAGAGAUCAGAAGGAAUACCGAUUGCGAAGGCGAUCUACUGGAACAUUAUUGACGCUGAGACGCGAAAGCGUGGGGAGCAAACAGGAUUAGAUACCCGUGUAGUC
rnacentral:rRNA from 1 species